GAGAAGAGGCAUGGACUCUGCUGCUGCCACUCAGACCCCAUCAUGGAAAUAAAAUUUCAGCAGUGGGACCAUCAGUUUGACAACUUGUUCAGUGUAUUCCACAAAAACCUCCCUUUAAUUCCUUAGCAUAGCAAACCAACAUCUGGCAAGCCAUUGACUUUUCUUCCAGUCCUACAGUUUUAAUACCAAAACUUUGCUGAUCUCUGAGGUUCACAAAUUCCCAACCGUCAUCAUCACUCAUAUUCCCCAUGUCCUAGGUAUCUAGAAGGGCCACUUCAGGCUUAAUUGAAGCAGUCUUCAUCAGGGGCCCCAUAACCACGGGAAGGUACUGCUGGAAUUCUUUCCCAAGGAUUUUGCACAUCCUAGCUCAUGCUGAGAUCAUGUAAGAAAUCUGAGGGUCGUCAUAUUCCAUAUCAUUGAAGUCUGUCUGUGUCUUCAACAAUAGCUGCAUCACAUCUGAAGCAUCCUGCAUGAAUUUCUCCUUCCCGACUACCAGACCGAUGAGGCUGGUGCACUCGAUGGUCUUCCGUUGCAGCAGCUUCAGCUCCUGGACUGUGUUCUCGACAAUGUGCUUCAGUGAUGGCAUAAACAAGUCAUAGUAGGGGACAAACUUUUCCUCUGCAGUAUCUGCAACUGAUGCAAUGGCUGUCACAACUUGUUGCAAAACUAACUUGGUGCCUUUCUGAAUCAUCUCCUGGAUCUUGAGCACCAUGAUGGAGUGCAGGUACUUCACCAAGUUAUCCAAGUACAGACUAAGCAGUGACUUGGGACAAUCUUCAGUGAAGUUAAUAAGGGCAGCUACUGCAUGGGCCUGCACCCGCUGGUUGCCUUGGUCUUCCAUGGUCUGAAGCAAAGCUGCAAUCACCUUCUCAUGAAAUUUCUUUUGAAAACCAGGUGCAAAAUCUGUAGCCAUCUGACAUUGCAGGCUGCAUACCGGACUCUCGGAUGAGGAUCCUGGAGGAAAAGCAAGACAAAAUUUACAAUCUCACUUAGAGUUCCUUCCAUCUGCUGGUGGCAUCCUUUGUCAAUGGCAGAUAGGGCCAUUAAUCCUGCAUGCCUGUAUUUCCAAUCAGGGUUUUGAGGCAUUUACAUAAUGUGUUCCUUGAUCAUGGGCAGAACGAGUUUUCCACCAAGUCCACAGGCCAUUUCGUCUAAUGCACUUUCACUAACAACUGCAUUGCUAUUGAAAUCAUCAUCUUCUAGCUCAUCAGCAUUUGCCCAGUCCUCAUCUUCUUCUAGGUCAACCAUCAUUGCCAACAUCUGAGGAAUAGUCUGUGCGAUGAUAUUGGUGUGCUUUCUUAACAUAGCAGCUGCAGUCUCUGACAGUGUCACAAUCACUUCAAGGACAAGCUGGCAUUGCAUAUUAUUGAGGUUAGCGUCUCCACACAACUUUAGACUUAACUGCAGAGUUGCUUCUAAGUGAGGGUGCAAAUACUUUGGAACAGUAUCAGCAAUCUCAACAAGGAAUUUUAGGACAGAAUCAUCAUUCUGGUAACAUGAGUCAUUGACAGCCUGUAAGAAUCCAGGCAGCAAGUCUGCGAAGUGAAUGAACAGAGCACCAUUAUGCUCAUUGGCAAGUAUGAAGGCAGCAGUAGCUCUGGCAGACAGUGUCCUGAUCAAAAUAUGUGAAGGGCAGUUUCCCGGAUUCCCCUGUUUUGUGAGCUGACUGAAUCAAAGAGGAACUUCAAACCUUCAGGCCACUGGUUGUUGCUGUCCUCAUCUAUUAAAUUCCUGGCCAAUUCUGCAGCAAUAUCAUGAUUUUUUUUCUCAUGCUGGAUUGUGUUUCCAUCUGAAUGAUCAUUAGCAAUUCACUCUUGAUGGAAGUCUGGACAUCUGAUGGAAGAGCUGGAUAGACUUCAUCAAAUGCAGAGGAAAAAAAGAUGACUUAGGAGAACAGUGGCCAUUUGUCCAGUCUCCUCAGCAGCAGUUGUGUUUCUGAUGGCUUGUAAGAGGAAUGUGAUCUUGGACGGGCCAGGGACAUUCUCAUAGGUUUCCUCCCCCUGUUUCUGGACCACAUUGUCGGGGCUGAGCAGGUUUCUCAGGAGCAGGUAGAACUGUUGCUGCUCCGCACCGGCCACCACCAUUGCACUAGGCUUGAGAGCCAAACGUUGUCUCUUUAACUCCUUCCAUGGGUAUUUUGUUCCCAUUCUAAGGAGGAAUGAAUAUCCACACUUUGGUCUUCCUUCUUCUUGAUUUUCUGUGUUUGGCAAAAUGUAUCUUGGGUAUUGUAAGUUUCUGGGCUAAUAUCUACUUUUCAGUGAGCGCAUAUCAAGUGACUUCUUUUGUGAUUGGGUUACCACACUAAAGAUGAUAUCUUCCAGAUUUAGCAAUUUGCCCAAGAAUUUCAUAAAUUCAUUGUUUUUAAUAGCUGAGUAGUACUCUAUUGUGUAAAUGUACCACAUUUUCUGUAUCCAUUCCUCUGUUGAGGGACAUCUGGGUUCUUUCCAGCUUCUGGCUAUUAUAAAUAAGGCUGCUAUGAACAUAGUGGAGCAUGUGUUCUUAUUACAUGUUGGAACUUCUUCUGGGUAUAUGCCCAAG
rnacentral:lncRNA from 1 species